AUGGUAAUCAAAAUAGCGCUUCCAUUUAAAUUUGAAAUCGUUGAACUUGAGAUUCAACGCCUCAUUAAUUCCCGAUUAUGACCGUAGCAUCCUUUGGCCUGGACUGGACCUGACUGGUCAAAGAAUUAACUGAAAUAUCACAACUACGGCUUAAACCUUUAGAAAAACUAAAAAAAACACAGGAAAGGCAAAAUAGGGCAUAGAUGGGCAAAAUUGGAGAAGAUUUACAUGUAUUUUAAUGGGGUAAACUUGCAGCGGCGUGACCUCUUUCAAAUUCACAUAAAUUUGUUUUAGAGUGUUAUUUAUAAUAACCAGAAUCAUUCUUUGACCUGGACCCUUUAAACACCAGUCAAAGUGAAUGCAUUGAAAUUGGGUUUGGCCCUGGAUUCGAAUGCGUAACCACGUGCCUCUUGUAUUUCCCAUCAAUCCAUGCGGUACGUGUUAUAUCUAGAUAAUAGGCUUUGAGAAGUUCCAGGAUUCACAUGCUUGUGUUUCACAAACUGCCUCCUGUUUGUAGACAGCAAGUUAGAUGAUAUAUUCUUGCUGUGCUGGCUGGGGUGUACUCGAUCCUCAAAAGCCAACACACCGAGGGUUGAUCAGAUGUAGCAAGCUUAAUUCCACGACGUAGACGACUGUACGGAGGCUAAACCAGGCAGUACUUGAAGUUGUGUGACAUUUAGGCGGCUAACACAGAUCACAUAUGAAGAACCGAUUUUAGACGGAUUUCACCAGUGGAGGUGUAUGAUGUUAUAUUCUUGGCCUCCUGGAGGACACAUGCAUGACACAUAAUGUAUCAAACAGUCAUCAAUUUCAUGAGCUGGGGAGUGCCAACAGCCCAAGAUACUGUUACAUGUUCAUUUAAUUCCAGGAUUUAAUUCUGUCUUUGAAAGAGUGGCCAAUAAAACUGUUUAUUGUA